rnacentral:misc_RNA from 1 species
UUGACUUAUUUGUUUUGUGUAUACUCAGACAGGUUCUUAACAAGAGUUUUAGUAAGGGCCACCGGCGAGCACUGACGAGAGGGUGUUUGACGACCCUCCGGCGGCCUCUAUCGAAGCGGGCUCACCGAAGCAACAUUGGUAAGGUAGACAAAGGGUUGGAGGUCGGGCUCUGUAUAAAUCGAGACCCUUACUCAUUAAUGAUCCUUCCGCAGGUUCACUAUGAUCACGUUAGUAUUUGGUCACGCGGUGGAGGUAGGAAAACACAUACCCUACGGAAA